GACGAACGCCGGCGGCGCGCUUAACACAUGCAAGUCGAACGGAAAGGCCCUGCUUUUGUGGGGUGCUCGAGUGGCGAACGGGUGAGUAACACGUGAGUAACCUGCCCUUGACUUUGGGAUAACUUCAGGAAACUGGGGCUAAUACCGGAUAGGAGCUCCUGCUGCAUGGUGGGGGUUGGAAAGUUUCGGCGGUUGGGGAUGGACUCGCGGCUUAUCAGCUUGUUGGUGGGGUAGUGGCUUACCAAGGCUUUGACGGGUAGCCGGCCUGAGAGGGUGACCGGCCACAUUGGGACUGAGAUACGGCCCAGACUCCUACGGGAGGCAGCAGUGGGGAAUAUUGCACAAUGGGCGGAAGCCUGAUGCAGCAACGCCGCGUGCGGGAUGACGGCCUUCGGGUUGUAAACCGCUUUCGCCUGUGACGAAGCGUGAGUGACGGUAAUGGGUAAAGAAGCACCGGCUAACUACGUG
rnacentral:rRNA from 1 species